rnacentral:lncRNA from 1 species
AGUUGUUAACGGAUAUGAUAUGGGAAGGUUGAGCUGCUGUUUAUCUGUUCCUAGAGAUGCCAGAAUUCUGGAGAAUUUUAUCUUUGAAAAUCUUUAAAAUGUUCCAUGAUGAGUUCCUGUAUGAUGAGAGUUUAAAAUCCUACCACAGCCAUAUAUACAUGCUUAUUAGACUAUGAACCAUACAUUUACUUUUUACUGCUUAUGAGCAUUGAGUGUGGUCAAGCUGUGCAGACCCUUAGGAGCUUGUCAUGCGGUUAAAAUCAAGAUUCACUUGCACGUUCACUCAUACAUGCUGCUUCUACUCCGGAAGUACGCAUCCACAUACAUCCACUAAUUUCCAUCUCUAGAUUCACCCAGAAUUAUUCUACUCCUAUCCGGGAGAGAAUAGCCAAAAAACAUUAUCCUAUCCCUGUUAUUCCCCGUGAAAUAAAUGCUCAAGAUAUUUUGGUUACUACCACUUGCUACAUUAUUCGAGGAGGGUGAGUGCUCUAAUAAAAGAGUGAAUACGAGGAAAUAAAAAGGGGCAAGUGCCUGGAACCUCGAUGAAAAGAAAAAGUGAGACGAGAGGUAAAAAUGGACAAGUGUCCGACAGUAGAAUUAGGGGUACAAGAUACCCACCUGAGAGGAAAGAAAAAGAAAAUGUAGAGCAUCUCAUUCUCCUAAAAAGCUUCAAGGAGCAAAAAAAGGUAUGUAUCCCCUCAAAAGAGCAAAAAGUAAAAUUAGACUUUCACCAUUGUUAUCACCAUCAUCACCAUACACCAUUCAUUUGCCACACAUGCACAUCUUGAUUUGACUUAUUGACUUGUUUCUCUAGAUCUAUGGUUUGACUAUGCAAUAAAUGUCUUGUAUGUAUUAGCUGUCUCCCACCUAUGAGCUCCAGAUAUCAAAGCCUCAUUAGAGUAGGAUGAGAGAGAAGGCAAUAUCACUAUGCCUCAUACCACAAAUACUACAUACUUUGAGAGAAGGCAUAUACCAUUACUGCCUUGGUAAGGACCAAGAAAUACCACAAAAGAGAGAAUUGAGAGAGUCAUACAAGGAAUUUCUGAGUUUUAUUUUGAAAAUCUACAAAAACUCCAGAGCUAUAGUUGAUCAAGAACAAGAGACAUGGCGCCUGACUUGACCGUUCUAUCUUUUAACUGCUCAAGACACAAGUGACGGUUGCAAGCCCCAUGGUGGAAGGUAAUAUGAGUAAGUUUAAAUCUUAACAGUUUACCCUAACCUAGAGAUGAGAUCUUGUUUGAACGCAUGUGUACCUUUAAGGCAUGAAACCACUGCAGAAACUCAUGAGUCCAUCCUUGCUCAGGGACGAGCAAGAGGUAAGCUUGGGGGAGUUGUUGACGGUUCUUAAGUAUCAAAUUUAAUCAUCAAAUAAAUAAAGAAAAGGAUCCAAAUGCAACCGACACCUAGACUUAGGGUUUUAUCUGACAGAAUUCCACGAGUUUUUGUGUUUGUCUAUUUCUGCAGGGGGUUAUCAGGAAAUAUGGAGGAAAGGCCCACAUGUCAGGUUUACAUAGAGAUAUUAACGUGUCACAUAAUUUUCUAUCAUCUAGAAGACUCCAGAAGCCACGGGAAUGAACGGGAAGCCGAGCGGGCUCGGGGACAGGGCGCCCGCCCUACUUUUUCCACCAAUCAGAACCAAUUUCGCGGAUCAUGCUCCACCGACCUAAAGGAUCAAAGAAAACCGUGCGAUCAAUGUCGGUUUGAUCCGAUAGCCCAAAUUCACUUGAGGGGACUAUAUAAGCAGACCCCCUGGCCCCUAGAGGAGGCACCCCCUUGAUCCCUAUUCAUUAUUCAUAGACAGAGCAAAAGCUAGGGUUUGGAGAUGAGAGCUCUCCUCUCUUCUCUAAACUAGAGUAGAUCUAGAUAGUAGCGAGAUGGAGAGCGAUGGUGGAUUGGAGGAGAGGCCGGCAUGUCGGUUCUUCCUCUGGUUGCACUUCGCCAUGAUCAAGCUCUAAUCAAGCUUGCUCAUGGGAUGACUCUGGUAAUCUACUUCUUAUUUCAUUAUGCAAUUACUAUCCAUGUAUGUUCUGGUUCACAACUCUUUUGAGUACUUUAAUAUAUAGGAUGCUAUAGGUGAGAGUUGUAGUAUAGGUGUAAGCGUGGUGCUUAGACCUAGAUUACUUGUGGAUAUCCCCUGUCUAGCCGGGCCGUGUGGUAGGCCGCGUAGGUGACAGUUACGUUGGUCCCUUGUAGUCCACCUCCUGUUAGCAGGACUGGUAGGGUUUAUCGGCCUAUGGAUAAGCAUCCUUUGUGGUGUAUUCUUAUCACGUGGUUCGUCCCAGACAUAGACAUACCCCUUUGAAGUAGAGAAACCAUAGUUAUCCUCUUUAUUCUCCUACCAUCGCCCAUAUACUAGAUUGCUCUACUCUCUAUUCCCAUAUUAUCACCCAUUGUUAUCUUACCUCUAAUAUUGUUCUUAUUCAAUUCUACCAUCUUUCCUGUUUACACCUAUCUAUCUAUCUUGGUUAAGUUAGAGCAUAGUUGGUUCUCCCGUUUCCCUGUGGAUACGAUAAAACCUUUAACCGGGUAAAAGCUACAACGGUAUCCGUGCGCUUACGGAUUUAUCUGUCUACGUAUAAAUACCAUAGUACACUCUAGUGCCAUGCUGGGGAUGACAACCUAGUAUUCAAGUGGUGUUAGCAAGUGUCAAUAGGAAUCACUUUGGUGCUUGUCCCCUCUUUUGCUUUCUCCUUUUCUCUUGCACCAAGCACUAAACAUGGGAAUCCGAGGCAACCAGCAGCAACUUUAGGUCAGCACCACCACCAUCUUUAUCAGACAACCCAACUUAGCAUGAUUAAAGUGGUGGUGGGCAAAACACAUGGUCAACCGACCAUGCUUUUGGUCCCCAUUUGGUGACCUUUUGCAAGCAUGAGGCUAGGUUCCCUGUCCAAAGUUGAAGGCAUGCUUCAAAGGGGGUGAUCCCUGGUCGGCCGACCUGCCCUAUGGGGGUCUUGCCAUGCCCUUUCACCCCUAUAAAUAGCACCCCAAUGUGAGCUCAAUACCACACCAAAACCAGCAGAAUCAUCUCAAGCUCACUUGGCCUUCUCUCUUCUCUUUAGUGUUCCAAGCCUUCUCAGGCUUAGUGUAGUAGUAGAAAUAAACCCAAAAACAUUUCCCUUCUGCAUAGUAGUAUAGUAGGAUGCUUGGUCUUGUUUGUUCACUUGUGAAGCUAGCAUUAGAAAUUCAUCUCCGCCAAGCUCACCGACAAGAGGUAGGGUGAUGGCUCAUCCUUGAGCUCUCACCACUCCGAGAGUAAGAGCCAUGAGAGAGUGGAGGAGAAUCAACUGCACACACUUGUUCCCUUCAUCCCCGCUGAUAGAACACUGGAGCCCCACGACAACCUCUUGCUCACUCAUGAAAAGCUAGGGAAGCUCUACACCCUUCGCACUUGUGGCUUCAACCACACCGCUGUCUUUGAGGAGCAACUCUUGGACCAAUCAGGUAUGAGCACUGACUUUCCUACUGUCUUUUAUUCCAUUGGGUGGGGUGGAUUUUGGAAAGUUCCUGAAUUUGGUGUAAAAGUACUCUCUCAAGAAUUUCUUGCCACCCUAAAAUCGAACGAUGAGGGAAUAACUUUUCGCAUGUUCAACAAAGAUUACAGUUUAACUUGGAGUGAGCUAAGUACAUGUCUAGGCUUUGUUCAAGAUUGUGAGCUAGACAUAGAUCAUGAUUUGAAAAAUUUUAACUUAGCUAAAUUCUGGAAGUUGAUUACUUGCUCCAAUAAUCUCUCUGUUCGUAGACCUGUCCAAAUCCAUAACCCAACCUUAACAUUCAUGUACUUUUGGAUCGUAAUCACUCUCUUCCCUGGUACUAGUGUGGAUAAUAUAGGCUUCAAAGAAUUGCAAAUCCUUUAUGCCAUGGUAAAUAAAAUCAGAUUUUCACCUGUCAAGUGGCUAGUACCUUUCUGCAUUUCCUCCAUUGCACCUAGCAUGCCCCUAUGCUUUAGUUCACUUAUCACUAGAAUUGCUGAAUCUAUGGGUUUGCUUGAAACAAAUGAAGUAGAGUUGUUGAUGCAAAAGCUGAUCUGCAAACACAAAGGGCUAAUACCCGAUUCAAACGUUAAGGCGUGCCAGCUGAUUUGACCUUACUAUCGGCAAAGGUGAUAACUCGAAUACUUUGGUCCCGACAACAGCGAUGCGCCCGGAUGUCACGGCCAAGAGGUAUUCACGCGGAACUUGAGAAUACGCCGAGCUUAAGUCGACGAACUCCUAAGAACUCGUAAUAAAAAGGAAAAUAUGAUGAAGUCGUCGAAAAAGUAGAUGCUGGAAUAUGAGUAAAAACUUGUGUUUGAUUGAUUCAUCGAUAGAUGUCUCAUUACAAGGCCCUAGGGUCUACAUUUAUACCUUGCUCAAAGAGCUACAAUCAGACACGACUAGGACUCGAAUUCCAAAUUACAUAGAAUCCGUAUACAAAACGAACUUAAAUAACUAAGAAAAACAUAGAACCAUCCUUUCGUAACCGACCGGGACACCGCCACAGAUCAAUCGGCCAUCUCCACGCUUCCAUUCAGAGUCAUCGGCAGUUUUCCUGUUAUAGCCAUCGGCAAACACCAAUAUUGAUCAUCGGCAAGAACACGUCACUACCCCUAGGCUUAGUCAUACUCACUCAUCUCUUCAUCGGCAGCUCCCCUCAUCGGCAACUCUUCUGCAAUCUAAUUAUCGUUGCUCCGCCUGCCGAUCUGUACUCUAUUGGUCCCCGUGCACAUGUGUUGACGAUCCUUAAUGCUCACAUUUAACCAUCAAUUAAUCAUAGAAAAGGAUCCAAAUGCAACCAACACCUAGACUUAGGGUUUUAUCUGAUAGAAUUCCACAAGUUUUGGUGUUUGUCUAUUUCUGCAGGGGGAUAUCAGGAAAUAUGGAAGAAAGGCCCACACGUCGGGUUUACAUAGAGAUAUUAACGUGCCGCGCAAUUUUCUAUCAUCUAGAAGACUCCAGAAGCCACGGGACCGAAGCGGAAGCCGAGAGGCCUCAGGGAUAGGGCACCCGCCCUAGUCCUGAGGGCGCCCGCCCACCUCUUUCCACCAAUCAGGGUGAAGUUCGAGGAUCAUGCUCCACCGACCUAAUACUUCAAGCAAAACCACACGAUCAAUGUCGGUUUGAUCCGACGGCCCAGAUUCACUUGAAGGGACUAUAAAACCAGACCCCCCUGGCCCCUGGAGAUCAUACCUCUUCUACAGAAUCAAAGCUACUGUUUCAAUUCUUCAUCCAAGUAGAGAGGAUCCCUCUAGUUCUUCUAGUUCUACCUCUAGUUCAUCUAGAUCUAGUUCUAGUUCAUCUAGUUCUAGUUCUAGUUCCUCUAGUUCUAGUUCUAGUUAGUUCUAGUUGUAAUCUAGAAAAUAGGGAGAGAGAAGAGGAGAGCGGAGGAGGAGCCGGAUCUGUCGGAUCUUCCUCAACAUUGUACUUUUGCAGCAACUGGUUCGUUCUUCGUCGUUCUCCAGGUUCUUCAAUUCAUAACUCCUGAGUUCUCUAAUUACUUUUAUUUACAUUCAAGUUAUUUAUUGGAUUCCCGCUUGCAUCAAGUGCUCUAAUCUUUGAAACAUUAGAGUAGUAAUUAAUAGAUUAGACGUGGUGUUUAGUCUUGCGAUUACCUGGAAUUGCACCCAAUCCUGCGGAUUGUUGUGGUAGCCUUAGGGUAGUGACAGCCCUAACGGUCGACGUAUUCCACCACGUUCGGAUAGGUGUUUGUAGGACCGUAGUCAGACCUUCCUAGCCCCCUUCUCAUCUCUUUCUGUGGUUAGUGCUCUGAUGUCCCGAUAUAGAUAAUCUUGAAGUAAUUCUUGAUUCUUAGAUCAACUAGAGAACUCUCAGGAAACUUCCUCUCUUCCCACCAAAAAAUAAUUAUAUAGUUAUCCUUGGGCGAUCUUGAAUCUUAAUUAGUACACUCACGUUCCCUGUGGAAAAUCGAUACUCUGGAAUACUCCCGGGUGAAAGCUACAUCGGUAUCCGUGCGCUUGCGGAUUUUUCUGUUUGCGUUUAAAAUACCCAACAAGCUUUCUGGCGCCGUUGCCGGGGAACGGUAGAUGUGCUAGUUUCGAACCAGGUCGUCCGUGUAUCCUUUUUCUUUUCCUUUUUUACCACACUCACCUUAUCAUUUUCACCAUACCACAUGGAUUUCACUCUAAGCAUUAAUGAGUAUGGAAUUUAUUUCAUAGCCACUUCAUUUAGUCCAUGCUCAUAUGCAACAUCUUCACAAUCCAUUGGUCUCUCCAACAUCACCACAUUCGAGAUCUCCAACCCCCUCAUCCUUUCUAUGUAUAAAUCUUUAAAAGGGUGGUUGUUGAUGCAUAUGUCUAUAUUAAAUAUUGUAGAUCUCGUUGAGUUGAUCUUGAUAUAGGCCAGCGUUGGAGGGGAAACCACUUCGCCGACAUAAAUCGAUGGUUUCCCAAGGACAAGCUUAGUGUCCUAAAACAAGCACUGAUCAGAUUGUAACAUGAGCUUUUAACUAUUUGCAACAUUACCUUGAGUGUUGAGCAUAUAAGAAUAAUUGUAGAAAAUUCCUUCGGGUAUUCUUGUCACUAACCUUUUCAGGAUUGGAGCAAGAAGAUCGGAUGAAUGACAAGCACAAGGUAUGUCCAACCAACUAUCAUACAACAUUGAAUUAAAUUCAUCCAAACUUGAAUUUUGCAAAAAUUCAAGCUUGGGGGAGUACUUUACAUAAAACUUCCUUUACCAUGUUGCUAUGUUGGUUGUCCCUACCUUUGAAACAUGCUCAAUUUGUUAAAUACUAAUCACACUACUUCAUCUCCACUUGAGUAGAUCUCUAUAAAUGGUUUCAUGCUACCUUUAUUUGCUUUAGUAUAUGUCUAGGUUUGGAGUAGUUUCAUUUAUCUCUUAAUUAAGCAUGGUGCUUAGUUUAGGAAUGAUGAUCUUACUUCCAAAGGACUUUAAAUUAAGCAUGAUGCUUAGGUUAAAAUUCCCUCCUAAAUCAAAUUAGACAUGGUGUCUAGGUUGAUCUUUGAGCCGAUAGUAUGCUAUAGUAGAUAUUGGAUAUUUUGUUGGACUAACCCCUGCAGGAAAACUUUCAAUAUCAACCUGGGAGGUCCUCAGAUAAACUCACAUUGGAGACAAAGAGAGACACACAUGAAGUUUAACAAUUUACACAAGGAAGGCAUAGCUCACAAGAGAUGAUCCAUAGAGGGUGCCACAAACACAAUGCACAACCGCUAAGAGAGGAAAGCUUCCACAAGGUGAUACUGUACCAUCACUCUUCAAGUAAGGUAACAUCUUAAGGUACUUGACUAUCACUUCUAUAAGCUUCUCCUUGAUUCUGGCGUUCACAUGAAUAAAAGAGACAAACAUGUAUGAUUUACAACUCUAGAUUAACCAACCCAAUCGAUUCAACAUGUUUAGUCCUUUCAUCUUUGUGAUCCCACACUCCUAAUCAUAUGAACUAAAAUGUUGCACACUUAAUCUUUGGAAAAUGAUAGUCAUGUAAAGAAAAAAAUAUUUACUUAGAUAGAUUAUCUUUCCAUAAGGUUGAGUGAUCUGAUCUGACAAAUGUUUUAAAUGUUACACUCAUGGUCUUAUUAUCCAUCAACUUUGUCUUUCUCACUAUGCUUAAUGUUAGAGAGAACAAAUACACUUUUGGUUCUGUUGGUGUUUUCCACCAACAGGGCCCAUGCACUUGAUCUCCGCCUUGUCUCUAUGAGCAGGUACACUUUAAGCAAACUAUGAAGGACUUUUACAACUCCCAGACUCCACCAAGUGAAGAACCUAGAUCUACGAGCACAAACACACUGGAGAUACUGGACACUCAGGCAAUCACUGCCCUGAGAUGCUUGAGGAUGUAACUACUAGAGUAACCCCGUUGUGGAAGUAAUUACUGACCUUCUGUCGGUCAAGAGAGACAAUCCAGGACGCCCCGUCAUCCCGAUCUCCAUCGGCAUGGUGGACUUUCUAGAAGCACUCUGCAACUUUGGCUCUAGCGUCAACAUUAUGCCCAGGGUACUCUAUAAAAAAAUUCUUUACACAUCCUUUCCUAGAAACAACCAUGUGUUUGCAGCUUGCAGAUCAGACACUAAGUUUCAAAAAGGGAAUAUUGAAGAACCUCUACGUCCGAGUUGGUACCUUAUACGCUCCAACAGACUUCGUGGUGAUAGAGACUGAUACUGAUGAGAGGGCACCCAUCAUCCUAGGGAGGCCAUUCCUGAACACCUCGGGGGCUGUCAUCUACGCUAGUGCUGCCAAGAUCAGUUUCUACAUCAAGGGGAAGAAGGAGACGUUUACCUUCAAGAAUAAGACUACACAAAUCUCAGAGCAAUCCAGACAUGAACCCAGGAAGAGGACCAAUAGUAGGAACAGGAACAAGCAAGUGUGGACCGAGUCAGCUAAGAUGGUCACUGCAGCUCAAGGAGGUCAAGAUCGUCAACUCAAGUCACCGUUCGUGACCAAGAAGGACGACCCUGGUGUUCCAAGCAUCAAGUGCACAAUCAACGGAUAUUCUUUUCAGAAGACACUCUACGACACCGGAUUUGACGUCAACAUAAUGGCCGCAGUCACCUAUCAGCUUCUGUUCGGAACCAUGCCCCUAAAACCGACAUACAUUCAGCUCUAGAUGGCAGAUCAGACAUUCCGAAAGGUUGAAGAUUUUCAGGUUAUUGACAUGGUAGACGACGAGUACGAUCCAACCAUCAUCCUUGAAAGACCGUUCCUCAGCACCGUUAAAGCAAUCAUCUACAUUGGAAUCGGAGAAGUCCACAUGCACUUCCCCUCAGAGAAGGUACGCCGCUAUUUUACUGACCCUAACCAUAUAGUUGAAGACUCUGAGCAGGUCAGGACAAGAAGACAACGACGCAACCGCAACCAAAGGAGGCAAAUCAUCAAGGACGGAUGGGUAGACUAUGAAGGAGAAGUUGUAAGGUCUGAAGACAUACAACUUGAACAGAACCGUCCUGAGGAGACCGUAGCAUCGAGUCAGGUGUGGAGAAAAAAGAUAGUUAUACAUGAAGAGCAGGCUCCACCGGAACCACCGACUACGCCAUCCAACGAAUCCCAGGACAACUGAGAAAAUAGAGAGUCCCGUUCGGAGGACUUAAAAACACCGAGCACCUUGCCAAGAGGUAAACUUGGUAGUUAUCCUUUUUCCCUUUCAAUUAUUUAAAAUAGUUUGCUUAGUUAAUCAGGUUCAUAUCAUCUUGAAAAGAAAAUAAAAAUGUUAAGUAAGCCCCAUGUGAGUAUGCUCAUGGCAUAAAACCCAUAAGUACAUUCACUGUGGUGGCAUAAAAAUAAAAUAAAUAUAUUCCUGUCCUAUAAAAAUAAAAUUAUAAAAAUAGAUUUAUGAUCCUACCAAAGAGAGUAACAUUUAUUGAGGAGGCUCAACAUGAUAAAGACUAGAUAUUUAUGCUAAAACUUAACUAGUCCACAAAGCUUUGUUGUCUAUUUGAGCUCCACAGAAUUCAAGGAUCAAAGAAGACUAGUAGACGGAGGACAUCCUAAUCACUCUCAGGGUGCUGCCGUCAUUCAAAUACACCUCCGCCACCUGCUAGCUACAUCAGAAGAAACUACGUCAAAAUCCAGCUUGGGGGAGAGCACCCCAAUUUAUCCAGCUAAGUAUUCUACUCGCGUUUAUAUUUUACUCAAAUAAUAAAAAGAUGCAUAAUCAUAAAAACCUAAAUAAAGAUUUUGUGCUUAUAUAUAUAUCUUUUUUUAGUUUGCUAAAUAAAUAAAUAAAUAAAAUUUGCAAUGAACCCUCAUGAUAAGCUCUCACAUGGAAAUGAUGAGUAGUUGCUCUGCCAUGACUAGUUCUCAAAAUUGAAAUCUCUCUCAAGUUUAGGCAUGACUGUUAUGAAUUAAGAUUUGCUCUAAACCUAAACUUGUGGGAAGAGUACUUGAUCUGAAGUCUAAGUCGUUAACAGAUAUGAUGUGGGAAGGUUGAGCUGCUGUUUAUCUGUUCCUAGAGAUGCUAGAAUUCUGGAGAAUUUUAUCUUUGAAAAUCUUUAAAAUGUUGCAUGAUGAGUUCCUGUAUGAUGAGAGUUUAAAUUCCUACCACAGCCAUAUAUACAUGCUUGUUAGACUAUGAACCACACAUUUACUUUUUACUGCUUAUGAGCAUUGAGUGUGGUCAAGCUGUGUAGACCCUUAGGAGCUUGUCAUGUGGUUAAAAUCAAGAUUCACUUGCACGUUCACUCAUACAUGCUGCUUCUACUCCGAAAGUACGCAUCCACAUAUAUCCAUCCAUUUUCAUCUCCAGAACCACCUAAAAAUAUUCUACUCCUAAUCAGGGAGAGAAUAGCCAAAAACAUUUCUGUUUUCCCUUGUGAAAUAAAUGCUCAAGUUAUCUUGUUCCUACCACUUGCUAUAUUAUCGCAUG